rnacentral:snRNA from 1 species
AUGUUUUCCCACAAUCCAUGCUCACUCUGGAAUGAUAUAGAGAAGAUUAGCAUGGCCCCAUGAUGACACGCAAAUUCAUGAAGCGUUCCAUAUUUUA